rnacentral:rRNA from 1 species
CGUCUAUAUACGUAUAGCAUAUCAAUAAGCGGAGGAAAAGAAACUAACAAGGAUUCCCUUAGUAACGGCGAGUGAAGCGGGAAGAGCUCAAAUUUGAAAUCUUCAAGGUUCUACCUUGACGAAUUGUAGUUUAAAGAAGUGUUUUCUGUAGUGGAGUUUGGUAAAAGUUCUUUGGAAUAGGACAUCAUAGAGGGUGAGAAUCCCGUAUUUGGUCAUUAUUUCCAGCUUUGUGAUACACUUUCAAAGAGUCGGAUUGUUUGGGAAUGCAGUCCAAAAUGGGUGGUAAAUUUCAUCUAAAGCUAAAUAUUGGCGAGAGACCGAUAGCGAACAAGUACCGUGAGGGAAAGAUGAAAAGAACUUUGAAAAGAGAGUUAAACAGUACGUGAAAUUGUCAAAAGGGAAGCGUUUGACACCAGUGUUGUUUUUCCGAAAAUCAAUUACGAAUGUUUUGUUUUUGAGGAGUUAUGACUUCAUCGGCUUGCUCCUUUCUUUACGAAACUUUCUUAAUGCACUUUUCGGUUAACAAGUCAACAUCAAUUUCUUUUGUUGUAAAAGGGUAUGAGGAAGGUGGCUUUCUUUUCGGAGAAAGUGUUUAUAGCCUUGUGCCUCUACAAUCGGAGAGAUUGAGGUCUGCAGCGUAGAUCCUUCGGGGUUAGAUACGUUUGUGCUAAGUUAUAGCUUUUCGUAGACAACUUGUUGACUAUGUUUAGUCUUGUAGCUUACUCGCUUAUGCUAUUUUACCUACGCUUAGGAUGUUGACUGAUAUGUAGUCGU